rnacentral:rRNA from 1 species
UACGGAGGGGGCAAGCGUUGUUCGGAAUUACUGGGCGUAAAGGGCGCGCAGGCGGCUGCUCAAGUCAGGCGUGAAAGGCCUGGGCUCAACCCGGGAAUUGCGCUUGAGACUGGGCUGGCUUGAGUGCGGGAGAGGAUGGUGGAAUUCCCAGUGUAGAGGUGAAAUUCGUAGAUAUCGGGAGGAACACCUGUGGCGAAGGCGGCCAUCUGGACGUCAACUGACGCUGAGACGCGAAAGCAUGGGGAGCAAACAGG